rnacentral:tRNA from 1 species
GGGCACAUGGUGUAGUUGGUUAUCACGCUCGCUUAGCAUGCAAUGAAUUGUCUGCGAGAGGUGUUGGGUUCAAUUCCCAAUGUGUCCA